CGUAGGUGGCAUGCGUUGUCCGGAUUUAUUGGGUUUAAAGGGUGCGUAGGCGGUGAUUUAAGUCAGUGGUGAAAUACUUCAGCUUAACUGGAGAGGUGCCAUUGAUACUGGGUCACUUGAGUACUGAUGAGGUAGGCGGAAUGGACGGUGUAGCGGUGAAAUGCUUAGAUAUCGUCCAGAACACCGAUAGCGAAGGCAGCUUACUAAGGAGUAACUGACGCUGAGGCACGAAAGUGUGGGGGAUCAAACAGGAUUAGAUACCCUGGUAGUCCACACUGUAAACGAUGAUCACUCGAUGUUGGCGAUACACAGGCCAGCGUCUUAGCAAAAGCGAUAAGUGAUCCACCUGGGGGAGUACGCCGGCAACGGUG
rnacentral:rRNA from 1 species